GCCGCGUGAGGGAUGACGGCCUUCGGGUUGUAAACCUCUUUCAGCAGGGACGAAGCGAAAGUGACUGUACCUGCAGAAGAAGCGCCGGCUAACUACGUGCCAGCAGCCGCGGUAAUACGUAGGGCGCAAGCGUUGUCCGGAUUUAUUGGGCGUAAAGAGUUCGUAGGCGGUCUGUCGCGUCGGAAGUGAAAACCCGGAGCUCAACUCCGGGCCUGCUUUCGAUACGGGCAGACUUGAGUGUUGCAGGGGAGACUGGAAUUCCUGGUGUAGCGGUGGAAUGCGCAGAUAUCAGGAGGAACACCGGUGGCGAAGGCGGGUCUCUGGGCAACAACUGACGCUGAGGAACGAAAGCGUGGGGAGCGAACAGGAUUAGAUACCCUGGUAGUCCACGCUGUAAACGGUGGGCACUAGGUGUGGGGACCAUUCCACGGUCUCUGCGCCGCAGCUAACGCAUUAAGUGCCCCGCCUGGGGAGUACGGCCGCAAGGCUAAAACUCAAAGGAAUU
rnacentral:rRNA from 1 species